rnacentral:rRNA from 1 species
AACGUGCGUGGUCUUAACUCCGGCGCUAAAUGUACAGCCGUUCACAACGUGAUCUCCGCUACCGCGCCGAGCAUCGUCUGUCUACAAGAGACUAAACUGCCCCACGUCUCAUACUCCAUUGUGUUGGACACGCUCGGCCCCCUUUUUGAGGACUACUUCUUCCUACCGGCCAAUGGCACCCGGCUGGCAUCCUUCUAG